GUCCUUUCCGCCGCCAUGCCGCAGAUUCUGUAACGAGUCUUAAGCAGGCAUCGCGUGGUCCGGUGUGCUGCGGUGUGAUCGCCGCUGCUGGGAGCUGUGGGGGUAGCAUGGGCGAGCUCCGCAACCGCGCCUUGGUGAGCGCGGUGCCGCUGUCCCCAUUCGGGGAGGAGCGGCCAGCUGAGCCGCGUGAUCCGGGGUGGUGGGCCCUCCCCGGGGCUGGGGGAGGGGUGGGACCAGCCGGCCUAGCGGACACCCUGUUCAUUCCAUGGGGAAACAUGGGCCCCAUCACCGCCAGUCCUUGUCUCGGAGGACCCUUGUCACUUCCGCUUUUCCGGCCAUGUCUGCGCAAAGCGCGGGGAGCGGAAGGCUCCGCCCAGU
rnacentral:lncRNA from 1 species